CGCUUUCAGUUGGGGUCGUUGCUACAGAACAUCUCACAUCCCUUAUUAAUAAGAGCAAUAGCCUAUUGCAUUGAUUUCACUGUUGGUGUCCUAACCGGCAUUGCAGAGUCAGCUUCACUUUCCUCUGUGUCUUUUUGGACAGUUGUUCAGCUAGCUCUUCUAAAUCUUCCGUUGAAGGCUCUCCGCUAUGACUCUGAAGGAGCUCAUUUAUGUCACCAACUUCUACACCAUCUAGUUUUUUUGUUUAAUUAAUUAAAUUGUAGUCCGUAGUUUAUUAUUUAGUAUUAUAGUUUUAUUACAAUGUAAGUUAUAUUUAAAUGUCGGGACCAUCUGCGUCUAGGAAGUCGGGCACAGUCAUGACUCCUCACCCCCCCAAUCGUGAUAUAUGAGAGGCGCAAAAGUGAACCCGGCGUAAAUUGAAGCGGUGCAAACCGAGUCCUACUUGUACUUGUCCGCCAAUAACUCAAUCAUUUAUUAAUACUUAUGAAAUUAACAUCGCGAUGUAGAGGCGCUGUUUGCUUAUUUUUAAGUGACAGCACUUCAGAACAGUUUGCAUCUCCAAGGACGUAUCUUUAAAAUUUACUGGCGCGUCAUAUAUUUUGCAGAGAGCAGUUACGUGAAAUUUCUACGGUUGCUGUUACAGCUGAAUGCAUGCAUUGUUCAGUGAAGGAAGGUUGUAUUCUGUCUGUAGCUAAUAUAUUGAAAGCGGAGAACAACUGAACUAAGAUGAAAAGAAAUUUCUUCCGAAUAUGUUAGCUUUGUGGCAUAGUACUCGUAAUAUUCAGCAUACUAUUUUUUCAACAAAAUGUUUUUACCUCGUUUUUCGAGUUGUAAAGUACAUUCAUAUGUUCAGUGCUGCAUAUUCAGCAGAAAAUUAAUUAAACAAAUGCAAUUACUUAAUUAAAAAUAUUACCACGGGGAGUGAAAGCUGGCUUAAGUAAACAAAGCUCCAUUUAUAUUACAUAAUUUGUAAAUAUACGUUCAUAUUUUAAUUUCUCCCACAGGCAAAUUGUUAAAAGGUAAGUUUUUCCCCCCUCAUGCGUUCUAGUCGUCGUCACAAUUUAUCAAGUACAUCAUGGAUGGGCUUAUGGUAGGCCCUUAGAUGCUUUCACAAAAUGGCCAUUCUGACUGAAGUACACCGUUUGCGAACCAAUGCGAACAGUUGCCAAUAUACAUGCAUUAAAAUAUGUGACGGUCUCUGUUUUCUUACACCAACCAAGUCAUGAGUAUACAGACCUUCUUGCUUAGGUAGUAAAAGCGAAGCUGACUGAUAUUGGAAUCUCUCGCUGCCGCGAGAAUCUAAAAUUGUCUUUACACAGUUAUUGCAAAAAUAAAAGGAGUCUGCUGACUAUGGAGUCAGCAAACAGAACAUAUUUUCAAUUCAAUUCUUUAUUAUUAGUGUUCUGUAUCAACAGCAUGAAGGCCAAUUACAGAUACAGCACAGAGAUGACCACACAUGGUAUGGAUAACCCAGAGUGUAUUAAGUCUACUUUGUGCUCACCUAAGUUCACGCAGAUUAACAGUUAAAUAUUCAGAAUUCAAAAUAGAGGAAUAAGAGGUGAAAGAACGUGCCAGGAGUUAAACAGAAGACAGCGGUUUAAAAAGGGCCAUGAAUUGACUUAGGAAAACCACGAACGAAAACCCCCGACGGGAGACCUGUCGAAUACGAAGUGGAAGAUCUAACCGCUACACCACACCGUAACGCUUGGUUAUAAUUUCAAUAGGUAUUAACAUGUGAAAUUAGGAACGGAUUAAAAUUCGCAGUUUGUAAAUGCAAAUGUCAGUUAAAAACUAUCAACAUGGGAAUAUUAUUAUCAAAUAAAUAUUUUUGUCUAUUACGUAUGCAAUUUUUUUUACAGAUCCUAGACAUCCAGCAGACAGUAAAGUGACUAGCUGCUGGCUGGACGGCGUGGGUUCAAUUCCGGACAGCAGCUUUUUUCUUUGUCACCGAGACCAUUUCUUCUGUGGAGAAUCUUCCGUCCCCUUAAACAGUGAUUAACGAAGACUUUUCCUGGGGCUAAAAGUGGAUGUAGCUUGAACUGAUCUCUUACCUCCAUCUAGUGAGACAGCAAGCUGGUAGCGUUCUCUAUUUCCUGUGCUGGAGAGAAAUGCAGACGAAAUAUUGGAAGCAGAGCUGUUUUGGUGCAGUAUCCGCUCCAUUGCGAAUUGAGUUAAGGCUGUUGCUGGUCUGUACGUGUCAACUGAUGGACGCCCCUCCGUGGUCUCCCCUCAGUUUGAUCUCGAACGUGAAGAGGUGCUAAAAAGAAGGAGGCGGUUUGUCACUGAUCUUCACCUACAGAUACAAACCGUACCAGCUCUAAAGAGACGGAGGUUCCAGUCAACAUGGGGUGAGCGACCACACAGUAUCAGGAAAAAUCUCAUAUGAGUGAUUGUUGAGAGUAUGAGCGGUAGACAAAGGGAAUUAUUUCCAAAAUGGUGGACAGUAAACCUCCACUGAGACGGUAAAAUACAACAUGGUACAGUGGGAAUAACUUGAGAAAUAAGCAAUACACUCAAAUAUUAUGGAGACAGAGUACACCAAAAAAAGGAAAAACACUUAUAGAAGCCAACAAUACAUACCAACUCUAACAUAUGCAGCUCAAACAUGAUAUGAACCAUGAAGAGUGCUAUAUGAGAUUUCAAGAUAAAAUACUGGAGUAAAACCUUUAAAGAUGACAGAGACACAAUUUGGACAUUUUAGAUAUGGAAAUAAAAUCAAGAUGACUUAGUGGGAGAGUCAAGAAUUAAGUGCAGUCACCAGGGAGAGGAGGAUAUUGAUAUAUUACAUUACUAUUCUGGAGAUCCACAGCAUUUUAUUUACUUAUUUGUGGUUUAACAGUAAUGCCAACAUCUCAGAUUAAAGUGCCAAAUUAUAGGGUGACAAUUGAAUGAAUUUGAAGAAAUGUGGAAAAAAGAGGUGAUCACUUAAUUUAAGGUUGUAACCUGACAUUUUCCUGAAGGGAGCAAAGAAGAGCACAAAAGCGUCAGUCGAGACAGCCAGUCUCUGGACUCAUAUUUGAGCCUGGGACCUCCCAAAUAGGAAGCAAGAAUGCUAGCCACUUGACUAUGAUAUUUGGCAAAAGAUACACACAACAAUAGAGAUUAAAGGAAUACUGAAGAGAAGGCUGUGAGAAGUGACGGUUAUGAUAUCUCUUACAAACAACAGAAAAUCAAGACCUGCAACAGUGAAACAAAAAGAGUUUAUUCACCCAACUCCAUAACCUAAAAAACUGUAUAUAUAAAAGAAACUGCAAUGGAAUGUUAUUUAAUAUAUGCUUGGAUUAACCAAGUUGCUAAUCAUGUAUCCACUGAUCACUUUUAACAAAAGGUAUCAUUACCUAUGAAACCCAACACUCUAUUUUGCCAUAUACAAUGUGAUACUCCAGUAUUUCAAAAUAAUACAAUACCUUAGUAGUAAAACACAAUGAUAUGUCACAAAUAGCAUAAUUUUGAACAUGUUACAUUUGCUUCAAUACAAACUGGAGGGACACACUUCAGGCUUUUAUUCAAGGCAUGGAUAUUUAUCUAGCUACACUCAAAAAAAUGUAUACAGUACUAUUUGUAUGAAACUGAACUGUUACUUUCCAUUAUUUAUUGUAUUAAUAAAGCUAAAUAUAAUACCUAA